rnacentral:tRNA from 1 species
GGCCCCGUGGCGGAACGGCAGACGCAGCGGACUUAAAAUCCGCGACCGGGUUACACCGGUGUGUGGGUUCAAAUCCCACCGGGGCCA